rnacentral:rRNA from 1 species
CCUACGGGUGGCAGCAGUGAGGAAUAUUGGUCAAUGGACGCAAGUCUGAACCAGCCAUGCCGCGUGCAGGAAGACGGCUCUAUGAGUUGUAAACUGCUUUUGUACGAGGGUAAACGCAGAUACGCGUAUCUGUCUGAAAGUAUCGUACGAAUAAGGAUCGGCUAACUCCGUGCCAGCAGCCGCGGUAAUACGGAGGAUUCAAGCGUUAUCCGGAUUUAUUGGGUUUAAAGGGUGCGUAGGCGGUCGGAGAAGUUAGAGGUGAAAUCCCGAGGCUCAACUUCGGAAUUGCCUUUGAUACUGUUCGGCGAGAGAGUAGGUGCGGUAGGCGGAAUGUAUGGUGUAGCGGUGAAAUGCUUAGAGAUCAUACAGAACACCGAUUGCGAAGGCAGCUUACCAAGCUACUUCUGACGUUGAGGCACGAAAGCGUGGGGAGCAAACAGGAUUAGAUACCCGAGUAGUC